rnacentral:rRNA from 1 species
AACGAACGCUGGCGGCAGGCCUCAAACAUGCAAGUCUAGGGGGUGCAGCAAUGCAUCACCGGCGGACGGGUGCGUAACGCGUGGGAAUAUACCUUUUGGUUCGGAACAACUGCGGGGAAACUGCAGCUAAUACCGAAUGUGCCCUAACGGGGAAAGAUUUAUCGCCAAAGGAUUAGCCCGCGUAGGAUUAGCUAGUUGGUGAGGUAAUGGCUCACCAAGGCUCCGAUCCUUAGCUGCUGAGAGGAAGAUCAGCCACACUGGGACUGAGACACGGCCCAGACUCCUACGGGAGGCAGCAGUUGGGAAUCUUGGACAAUGGGGGAAACCCUGAUCCAGCCAUGCCGCGUGAGUGAUGAAGGCC